rnacentral:rRNA from 1 species
AGAGUUUGAUCCUGGCUCAGGAUGAACGCUAGCGGCAGGGCUUAACACAUGCAAGUCGAGGGGCAUCGGGAGGAAAGCUUGCUUUCCUUGCCGGCGACCGGCGCACGGGUGAGUAACACGUAUGCAACCUGCCCUCUUCAGGGGGACAACCUUCCGAAAGGGAGGCUAAUCCCGCGUAUAUCGGUUUCGGGCAUCCGAGAUCGAGGAAAGAUUCAUCGGAAGAGGAUGGGCAUGCGGCGCAUUAGCUUGACGGCGGGUAACGGCCCACCGUGGCGACGAUGCGUAGGGGUUCUGAGAGGAAGGUCCCCACACUGGUACUGAGACACGGACCAGACUCCUACGGGAGGCAGCAGUGAGGAAUAUUGGUCAAUGGGAGAGAUCCUGAA